UGGGCAUGGCCCGUGGCGACAGCCUGGCCUUGAUGGGGCUGGAGGCGUCGUUCCAUUUUGGCGAUGCCUUGC
rnacentral:tRNA from 1 species